GGGCCCGCACAAGCGGUGGAGCAUGUGGUUUAAUUCGAUGAUACGCGAGGAACCUUACCAGGGCUUAAAUGCAGAACGACCGGGGUGGAAACACCCCUUUCUUCGGACGGUCUGCAAGGUGCUGCAUGGUUGUCGUCAGCUCGUGCUGUGAAGUGUCGGGUUAAGUCCCAUAACGAGCGCAACCCCUAUUUCUAGUUGCCAGCGGUUCGGCCGGGGACUCUAGAGAAACUGCCAGCGUAAGCUGUGAGGAAGGUGGGGAUGACGUCAAAUCAUCACGGCCCUUACGUCCUGGGCCACACACGUGCUACAAUGGUGGGGACAACGAGUCGCUAACCCGCGAGGGUAAGCUAAUCUUCAAACCCCAUCUCAGUUCGGAUCGGAGUCUGCAACUCGACUCCGUGAAGUUGGAAUCGCUAGUAA
rnacentral:rRNA from 1 species